UACGAAGGGGGCUAGCGUUGCUCGGAAUCACUGGGCGUAAAGGGUGCGUAGGCGGGUUUUUAAGUCAGGGGUGAAAUCCUGGAGCUCAACUCCAGAACUGCCUUUGAUACUGAAGAUCUCGAGUCCGGGAGAGGUGAGUGGAACUGCGAGUGUAGAGGUGAAAUUCGUAGAUAUUCGCAAGAACACCAGUGGCGAAGGCGGCGCACUGGCCCGGUACUGACGCUGAGGCACGAAAGCGUGGGUAGCAAACAGG
rnacentral:rRNA from 1 species